GGUUGGUCCGAAGACAGCGGGAUUACAAAUGAUUAUUGCAGUCUGUUACAUAACUCCUUGUUUCUUCUAACCCACUGUCGGCCUUGACUAGCCUCUU
rnacentral:Y_RNA from 1 species